rnacentral:rRNA from 1 species
UACGUGGGCAGCAAGCGUUGUUCGGAGUUACUGGGCGUAAAGGGUGUGUAGGCGGUUUUCUAAGUCUGGUGUGAAAUCUCCCGGCUCAACUGGGAGGGUGCGCCGAAAACUGGAAGGCUAGAGUGCGGGAUGGGAGAGUGGAAUUCCUGGUGUAGCGGUGAAAUGCGUAGAUAUCAGGAGGAACACCUGUGGUGUAGACGGCUCUCUGGACCGCAACUGACGCUGAGACACGAAAGCGUGGGUAGCAAACAGG